AUGGGAUGAGCACCUGCAGCAAUUAAACAGCAAUGCAAUUGCUUCCGAGGCCUCAGCCCAUUCCACCAGAGCUCUCAACAGAGAAUGAUUCCACAGAGACAAGUCUUGAAUGGAGACUUUGCAGCCCUGCAUCCGCCUGUCCUUCAAGGAUGUUCAGCGAUGACACAAAGUGUCAGUUUCAUUAAUUCAAGCUGCACCUCUCUGGCAGACACUCUACUCCUGGGAAAGUCAGAAAUAGUCUCACAUUCAGGGAGCCUCCAGUCUCCAGAUGACACUUCACUGGAAUCUGAAGGGUGAAGAGGUGGAUUCUGGACCUGGUGUUCUGAGAGGAGUGGUGGGGCCAAAUACAUGAAGAAGAGAAAGCCUGAACCAACAGAUGCAUCUAGCCUGAAUGAGCAUUUUAACAUAUGAGAGAAGUUGAGUCCCGGUGGAGUCCUUACCAUGAAAAUUUUUGCGAAAGAAGUAGGUCUUUCCUGUCUCUAAACCACAGGCCCUGUAAGAGGUCUUCUAGGAGAUGCGGUAAGAAUUCCACAAGUGUAUGAAAUCUACUAUCAUCUUUGCUCCAUGGUUACUAACAGCAUUUGUACUUAUGUGAGCUGUGAAAAUUAGUUAAAGGCGGCUUCUAAGUAUUUAUACAACUACUUGGAAAAGAGAGGUCGACUGUGUUAGGUUCUACCUGAAAUCAUCUAGCACAGUGUGUUUCACUUAUUUUUCAU
rnacentral:lncRNA from 10 species